AAAUUGAAGAGUUUGAUCAUGGCUCAGAUUGAACGCUGGCGGCAGGCCUAACACAUGCAAGUCGAGCGGUAGCACAGAGAGCUUGCUCUCGGGUGACGAGCGGCGGACGGGUGAGUAAUGUCUGGGAAACUGCCUGAUGGAGGGGGAUAACUACUGGAAACGGUAGCUAAUACCGCAUAAUGUCGCAAGACCAAAGUGGGGGACCUUCGGGCCUCAUGCCAUCAGAUGUGCCCAGAUGGGAUUAGCUAGUAGGUGGGGUAACGGCUCACCUAGGCGACGAUCCCUAGCUGGUCUGAGAGGAUGACCAGCCACACUGGAACUGAGACACGGUCCAGACUCCUACGGGAGGCAGCAGUGGGGAAUAUUGCACAAUGGGCGCAAGCCUGAUGCAGCCAUGCCGCGUGUAUGAAGAAGGCCUUCGGGUUGUAAAGUACUUUCAGCGGGGAGGAAGGCGAUAAGGUUAAUAACCUUGUCGAUUGACGUUACCCGCAGAAGAAGCACCGGCUAACUCCGUGCCAGCAGCCGCGGUAAUACGGAGGGUGCAAGCGUUAAUCGGAAUUACUGGGCGUAAAGCGCACGCAGGCGGUCUGUCAAGUCGGAUGUGAAAUCCCCGGGCUCAACCUGGGAACUGCAUUCGAAACUGGCAGGCUAGAGUCUUGUAGAGGGGGGUAGAAUUCCAGGUGUAGCGGUGAAAUGCGUAGAGAUCUGGAGGAAUACCGGUGGCGAAGGCGGCCCCCUGGACAAAGACUGACGCUCAGGUGCGAAAGCGUGGGGAGCAAACAGGAUUAGAUACCCUGGUAGUCCACGCCGUAAACGAUGUCGAUUUGGAGGUUGUGCCCUUGAGGCGUGGCUUCCGGAGCUAACGCGUUAAAUCGACCGCCUGGGGAGUACGGCCGCAAGGUUAAAACUCAAAUGAAUUGACGGGGGCCCGCACAAGCGGUGGAGCAUGUGGUUUAAUUCGAUGCAACGCGAAGAACCUUACCUGGUCUUGACAUCCACAGAACUUAGCAGAGAUGCUUUGGUGCCUUCGGGAACUGUGAGACAGGUGCUGCAUGGCUGUCGUCAGCUCGUGUUGUGAAAUGUUGGGUUAAGUCCCGCAACGAGCGCAACCCUUAUCCUUUGUUGCCAGCGGUUCGGCCGGGAACUCAAAGGAGACUGCCAGUGAUAAACUGGAGGAAGGUGGGGAUGACGUCAAGUCAUCAUGGCCCUUACGACCAGGGCUACACACGUGCUACAAUGGCAUAUACAAAGAGAAGCGACCUCGCGAGAGCAAGCGGACCUCAUAAAGUAUGUCGUAGUCCGGAUUGGAGUCUGCAACUCGACUCCAUGAAGUCGGAAUCGCUAGUAAUCGUAGAUCAGAAUGCUACGGUGAAUACGUUCCCGGGCCUUGUACACACCGCCCGUCACACCAUGGGAGUGGGUUGCAAAAGAAGUAGGUAGCUUAACCUUCGGGAGGGCGCUUACCACUUUGUGAUUCAUGACUGGGGUGAAGUCGUAACAAGGUAACCGUAGGGGAACCUGCGGUUGGAUCACCUCCUUA
rnacentral:rRNA from 1 species